UGCCAGACUCCUACGGGAGGCAGCAGUGAGGAAUAUUGGUCAAUGGGCGUAAGCCUGAACCAGCCAAGUCGCGUGAGGGACGACGGCCCUACGGGUUGUAAACCUCUUUUGCCGGGGGACAAACGGCGGCACGCGUGCCGUCCUGAGGGUACCCGGAGAAAAAGCAUCGGCUAACUCCGUGCCAGCAGCCGCGGUAAUACGGAGGAUGCGAGCGUUAUCCGGAUUUAUUGGGUUUAAAGGGUGCGCAGGCGGAAUGUCAAGUCAGCGGUAAAAUUUCGGGGCUCAACCCCGUCGUGCCGUUGAAACUGGCGUUCUUGAGUGAGCGAGAAGUAUGCGGAAUGCGUGGUGUAGCGGUGAAAUGCAUAGAUAUCACGCAGAACUCCGAUUGCGAAGGCAGCAUACCGGCGCUCAACUGACGCUCAUGCACGAAAGCGUGGGUAUCGAACAGGAUUAGAUACCCGAGUA
rnacentral:rRNA from 1 species